GUAGUCACGACAGUGUGCUGUUGCUAUGAAUGUGAAGUAGUCGCUAGAUGUGACAGUUAGUUAGGGUUUAGUAAAUAUUUACGUGAUGGCUACCACUUACCCGUAUAUGAUCAACUCGUGGUAAUAAUCUUUAAACAGCGCCCACGGUUACCUAUGAGAUAAGCUUAUGUUUUUGUUGAGUAAAAGUCGAAAGGAACUAGACGUAUCAAAACAAGAGCUAAUGUUGUGACAUCUGAAUGUGAUUAAAAACCAGCUGUCGCGUUGAUACGCUUGUGUCUGUCAUCUGUUUAGUUUAGUAUAGUGCCGAUGUCAAGAUGUCUGUGGAACUGGAUGUAUUUGUUGGAAACACCACCAUUAUGGACAAAGAAGUGUAUCAACUAUGGCUGAAUGGAUAUACAGUGAAUGAUGCAGUGAAGGUGCGGAUAGAAGGAGGUGUAAUGGAGGAGUGUGAGGCGAGUGCAGAAGUGCUGCUCAGUGACACCAUGGACCAGUACAGAACUUUCCAGAUGUGCGAGAGACUUUUGCACCACCCAGCUAAACUAGCCAAUCAG